rnacentral:rRNA from 1 species
UACGUAGGGGGCAAGCGUUGAUCGGAAUUACUGGGCGUAAAGCGUGCGCAGGCGGCUUUGCAAGUCAGAUGUGAAAUCCCCGGGCUCAACCUGGGAACUGCAUUUGUGACUGCAUGGCUGGAGUGCGGCAGAGGGGGAUGGAAUUCCGCGUGUAGCAGUGAAAUGCGUAGAUAUGCGGAGGAACACCGAUGGCGAAGGCAAUCCCCUGGGCCUGCACUGACGCUCAUGCACGAAAGCGUGGGGAGCAAACAGG